rnacentral:tRNA from 1 species
CGACCCGUUGCUGGGCGAGGUCGUAGCGCUCCAGCUCGGACUUGGGGUCGGGGUCGUCCGGGGUGGCCCGGGACGC